UACGAAGGGGGCUAGCGUUGUUCGGAAUCACUGGGCGUAAAGCGCACGUAGGCGGAUCUUUAAGUCAGAGGUGAAAUCCCAAGGCUCAACCUUGGAACUGCCUUUGAUACUGGGGAUCUUGAGUCCGGGAGAGGUGAGUGGAACUGCGAGUGUAGAGGUGAAAUUCGUAGAUAUUCGCAAGAACACCAGUGGCGAAGGCGGCUCACUGGCCCGGUACUGACGCUGAGGUGCGAAAGCGUGGGGAGCAAACAGGG
rnacentral:rRNA from 1 species